rnacentral:piRNA from 1 species
UAUGUCGUUCAUGUGCAAAAAAUACAGC